rnacentral:sRNA from 1 species
AUCACCGCUUCCCUUGCAAAUCUUAUUCCUGCCUCAUUCGCGCCGAAAUGGAGCCGCACUGAACCCCGUAAAUGCUUAAGUUGCCUCGACGGCCCGGCUCAUCGAAUGGCUUGGACACGUCAGCCCCCCAGCCCUCCGGGUCGUUUGGAGAGCCGGGCCACGUCGAGACACAAGGCUGCCUUACGGGGCAGCCUUUU